CAAGCUUCAGCAUAGAAAUCUUGUGAGACUUCUGGGUUGCUGCAUCCAAGGGGAAGAAAAGAUGUUGAUCUAUGAAUACAUGCCUAACAACAGUCUAGAUUCCUACAUUUUUGGUUUGGAUUUCUAACCUAUUACACAAGCUAAAAUGAGUAAUAAUUUGAUCUCUUAGUCAUAAUAUGAAAAAAUCUGCUCACAAGAAAGCUUCUUUUGCAGACCAAACAAAGAACAAAUUACUUGACUGGCCAAAGAUUUUCCACAUCAUCAACGGAAUUGCUCGUGGCUUAUUGUAUCUCCAUCAAGACUCUAGACUACGGAUUAUCCAUAGAGACCUUAAAGCAAGCAAUGUUUUGCUAGAUAUAGAGAUGAAUCCAAAGAUAUCAGACUUUGGCUUGGCCAGAAGUGUUACAGGAAAUGAAGUGGGAGCAAAAACACGCCAUGUGGUUGGGACAUAGUAAGAAUCUCUAAUAUCAUACAAUGUACUCUUAUAUGACAUCUUGCUUCUUUAAUUCUCAUGGUGGUGUUUUAUUGGCACAGUGGUUACAUGUCCCCUGAAUAUGCAGUAGAUGGGAAGUUCUCAGUAAAAUCAGAUGUGUUUAGCUUUGGCGUAUUGGUGUUAGAGAUUGUGAGUGGCAAGAAAAAUAGAGGAUUUGUUCAUCAAGAUCACAACCUUAACCUUCUCGGUCAUGUAAGCACUGUUUAACCUGUAUUACACAGAACUCAUUUGUUUUUCUUUACAAAAAUAGAAUUUGUCAUGAUUCAUAAGAUCAAAACUCAAACAGGCAUGGAAGCUUUACAAAGAGGAUAGGUCGUUGGAACUAGCUGCUGAGCAGCUGGCUGACUCUUGCAACACUUCUCAAGUUUUGAGGUCAAUCCAUGUGGGUUUGUUAUGCGUGCAACAACAUCCGGAUGAUAGACCAAGCAUGUUUUCUGUGGUUCAUAUGUUGGCUAAUGAUGGUCUACUUCCAAAAGCCAAAGAACCGGGAUUUUUCACAGAACGAAAUGUAUAUGAUGAAGCAAAAUCAGGAUUGCAGACAAGAAGUUCAAAAAACGAAUUCACUAUCACAUUGUUAGAUCCACGGUAGGUAGGGGUGCCAAAAUAACAAUUUUGAUUUGCGUGCACAUGAAUAAGAAAGAUAUACAUUACAACUUUGGUUAUUGUGAAAUACAGUAUUACUUAAAUAAAAUAAACAUCAAGUUCUACUUAUGUUAAUGUAUGGACCUUUUUAUCUAUUUGUAUUUUUCUUUGAAUAUAUACUUUAGAUAUGUCAACAACAAAGAAGGAAGCAGUAACGAAAUGUACCCAACCUAACAUGAGGCCAAAUAGUGGUUUCAUCAAAUCUGCUAAAACGAAGCAAUAUAUUUUGAACAAUUCUAUAAAUGAAUGCAGAAUUAACUCAAAACCAUUGCGCAGGUAAUGUAGAAACACUCCACCAACAAUUUUCCCCAAAUAUCAAAAUUCAAAAUCAUCAAAGUAGCAGAAUAGAACUAUACCAGAAUAAGGAGCCCUAGCGUUACGAGGAAGAGGCGACUGCCGGAGAUGGAGACUGAAUGGGAAGAUUAGCCUCAAAGUAGAGUUUCUUGUAAUUUGGGUCAACUGUCCAGAAAUGGAGCGAAAUAAAGAAAAAAGGGGAAAUGCUAACAAGGAAAAGUGACCGUGUAAGACUUGUUUAUGGGAAAUUUGAGAGUUUUGAAUAAAAAUGAGUGAAUCUUAAUUCAUCUCAUUUGAUCACAUAUAUUAUUAAUAAAUCCGCUCUUCAACGGCAACAACGGUGUGUGCUUUCUUCUUGGCUUGUUUUCUCCAAUGGUGUAUUAAUUGCAUCUGUUGAGAAAUAUAGAAUAUAUAAAAUAAUAUAUACCUUGAUGCAUAACUUGUAAGUAAUUAUACACAUUUUAUUCACGUGAGAUUGUAAAAUAAUAACCAAACGCCAUAUUUGAUAUGUUGAUUUUUUUUUUUUUAAAAAAACGAGCUAACAUAAUAUUAACUAUUCUAAUUUUUAAUUAAUACAUGAACAACCACUCGUAAGUGAUAACAGUACAAAAGUUGUUUCUAUGUUUUUUAACAUGUUGAAACAAAUAGCAUAUCAAGUUUUUCAAGUGACUAAUUUGUUAGUUACGAAAGGUUACGUAAUUUUUUAAGUGAUAUAAUAGCAUAAACAUAUUAUCUUAUCCAGUGUUUUAAAAGGCAAGGGCGUGAUGCAUGACAUUUUACUUAGCACAGGGCGAGGUGUAAACCCCGAGGUAUAGAGCAUAAGUCCCAUAUAAUAGCACAAAAUUAUAAAAAUACAUCAAACUGAAAAUAUGAUUAAGGAAACUCAUAGAAAAUAAAAGGGAAAAUGCAUAAGUACCCCCAGCCUAUGCCCAAAAUCCCUGAGACACACCUAACAUUUACUAAUGUCCUAUUACCUCCCCGAACUUAUUUUAUAUAUAAUUUUCUACCCUUUUUCGGCUUACGUGACACUAUCUUAUUUUAUUUUUUUAAACUCCGUGUCAAGUCAAACUAAACCACUCUUUUUGAAACGGAGGGAGUAAUAUUUAAGAAACUUUUUUUAACUUAGUUUUUCAACACAUGGAGACCACAAUAUGCAACAUGCAUGACUGGCCUAUCUAGAUUUGCAGUGCCUGAUUAAGAAAAAAUGAUUGUAGAAUCUGAGGCAGGUUCAAAAAGAAAGAAGGCAGUGAGUUUCUCAUUGUUGAUGGCAAUGAUUCUGCUAAUCCUGAUUUUGUUGUGGUACAAAUGGAAAAAGAAGAAUUAAACUGAAAUUCAGAGAAGAUUUUGAGCUGCCACUGUUCCCAUUGUCGACAAUAACAAGAGCCACAAAUAACUUUUCGGUCAACAACAAGAUUGGAGAGGGUGGAUUUGGACCCGUAUACAACAAGGUAUUCACUGCAAAUUUGUUGGAGUAGUAAACAGUUUAUGCACAAGAUUAGUGUAUCAGAGAUGAUCUUCAUUCUGUAAUAAUCUUGUCUUUGUAAAAUUUAUGCUCUCUUCAUGUACUUUUGUCAUUUCUAGGGGGUCCUGGAAGAGGGACAAGAAAUGGCCGUGAAGAGACUCUCAAGGACUUCCAUGCAAGGACUUGAUGAAUUCAAGAACGAAGUUAUCUAUAUUUCCAAGCUUCAGCAUAGAAAUCUUGUGAGACUUCUAGGUUGCUGCAUUCAAGGGGAAGAAAAACUGUUGAUCUAUGAAUACAUGCCUAACCAAGGGCGGCUCAACGUAAUUUGAGGCCUAAAACAAAAUUUAAGUGAGGCCUAAAAUUUAUAUAAAUAUCAAAUAUAGUUGUUUAUUUUUUUGAACUUUUUAAGUGCAAAUUAUUACUUGAUAUCAUUUCUUAAAAUGAUUUUUUUUAAUAUCAUUUUUAAUUAUUAAUUUUAAGUAAUAUUUUAUCAAUUCAACAUUGAAAAAUAUUCUUUUACUGAGGCAAUCAUUAUAUAAAUUGUUAACAUAAUACUAUAAGUAAUAAGUUGACAAACUUUACAUAAAGAUAAAAAUUAGAACCAUAAAAUAUGAUACAAGAAAUUGAUAACUUGGUAUAACCCUACUUUAAUAUGUUUAUGUAAUACUUGAAUAUUUAAGAAGAAACAAACAAAAGAAAAAUUGUAAGUCACUUUGUUGAAUUUUUUCGACUAUUAAUUUAUAUUUUUGAUAGUGUAUUACUCUAACUUAUCAAAAAAAAUUAAAAAGAAAGUGCAAAAGAAUUUUAAAAAGAUAAAUAAUACAAGUGUUAGCGAAGAGAAUGUAAACAUACAAAAUAAUGUUUUCUUAAUUUCUUCUAUUUGAUUGGCAUUAAAAAUAAUAAAAUAAUAUAUAUUUGUUUAAUAUUAUACAUUUUAAGCAAAAAUAAUUAUUUUUUAAUUAAAAAAAAUUAACACAUAAUUGAUGAAAAUUUGAGGCCCCCAAAAAUUGGGGGGCCUAAGCAUGUGCCUUAAAUUUAUCAAGCAAGAGCCGGCCCUGUGCCUAACAAAUGCUUGGAUUUCUCACUACUACAUAAGCUCAAAAUAAUAUACAAAGCUUUGUUCUAUUAGUCAUAACAUGUAUAUUUACACCUUCACAGAAAAAAACUAAUUAAUCGGAAAGCUUAUUUGUAGAUCAAACGAAGAGGAAAUUACUUGAUUGGCCAAAACGUUUCCACAUCAUAAACGGAAUUGCUCGUGGUUUUAUUGUAUCUCCAUCAAGAUUCCCGUCUACGAAUCAUACAUAGAGACCUUAAAGCAAGCAAUGUGCUGCUAGAUCAAGAAAUGAAUCCAAAGAUAUCAGACUUUGGCUUGGGUAGAUGUGUUGCAGGUAAUGAGAUGGAAGUAAACGCAAGCCGUGUGGUCGGAACACAGUAAGAACCUCCAUACCAUAUGUAUAAAGUACUCUUUCAUAUUGCCUCUGAUCACUUCUUAAUUUAAUCAACUCUCUUGCUCAUGUUUUUGCACAGUGGCUACAUGUCCCCAGAAUAUGCAGUGAAUGGGAUUUUCUCUGUAAAAUCAGAUGUAUUUAGCUUUGGUGUGUUGUUGUUAGAGAUUGUGAGUUGCAAGAGAAACAGAGGAUUUGUCCAUCAAGAUCACAACCUUAACCUUCUUGGUCAUGUAAGCACUCUAUAUAUUGUCUGUAUUACAUCUUCUUUUCUUAACAACACAGAGAAUUUGACACGCCCCAUGAUCUAUACUCGAACAGGCAUGGAAGCUUUACAAAGAAGAUAAGUCCUUGGAACUAAUUGAUCAUGAGCUGCAGCUAGCUGAUUAAUUCUUGCAAUGUAUCUCAAGUUUUGAGGUCAAUCCAAGUAGGUUUAUUAUGCGUGCAACAAUGCCGAGAAGAUAGGCCAAACAUGUCUUCUGUGGUUCUGAUGUUGUCUAAUGAAAGUCCACUUCAAGAAGCUAAAGAACCGGGUUUUUUCACAGAAAGAAAGGUACUUGAUGCAGCAAAAUCAGGAUCACAGAUAGGAAAUUCGAAAAAUGAAGUCAGUCACAUUGUUAGAUCCUCGGUAGUGUGUGAAACACAAAAGCUAUUUUGACUUGCAGCCCUUUACCUGUCUCAAACACAAUAUUAUAAUUUACCCAUUAUAAUAUUAACAAUUGAAUGAUGGAUUAUAAUUUAAGACAAUUCAAAAGUCUGUCUAAACGAUGAUAUUAAAGAGGUAACGGAAGUCUAAUGCAGGAACCUGGGAUAGAAAAUUCAAGGAAUCAAAUCACCAUCACAUUAUUAGAUAGUAUUUUUUUUAGUUUCCAAACCUGAUGUUUGAUAUUUUGGAAUUCCGAUUAAUCCGAACUUGUGGUUCGUUUCCUGUUAGACGUGUUUACGGGGAAAGCUCUCCCUAAUGUGGUGAUUUUUGUCUUAUCUAGGACUCGUACUUGAGAUUUCUAAAUAAAAAUGAAAGAAUCUUAUUCAUUCCGUCAUAACCUCUGCUGAUCACAUAUAUUAUUAGUUCCGCCUAAGGAUACUCAUUAAUUGCAUCUGUUGAGAAUUAUAGAAUAUAUAAAAUAAUAUAUACGUUGAUGCAUAACUUGUAAGUAAUACACAUUUUAUUCACGUGAGAUUGUAAAAUAAUAACCAAACGCCAUAUUUGAUAUGUUGAUUUUUUUUUAAAAAAAACUAGCUAACAUAAUAUUAACUAUUCCAAUUUUUAAUUUAAUACAUGAAUAACUAUUUUUCUAACUAACAACCACUCAUAACCGAACAAAAAUUGUUUCUAUGUUUUUUAACAUGUUGAAACAAAUAGCAUAUUAAGUUUUUCAAGUGACUAAUUUGUUAGUCACGAAAAGUUAGGUAAUUUUUUAAGUGAUAUAGUAGCGUAAACAUAUCAUCUUAUUCAGUGUUUUAAAAGGUAAGAGCGUGAGACAUGACAUUUUACUUAGCGCAGGACAAGGUGUAAGCCCCGAGGCAUAGAGCAAAAGUCCCAUGAAUUUUUCAAUUUUUAAUUUCUAUUAUAGAAAUAUAAUAUAAUAGCACAAAAUUAUAAAAAUACAUCAAACAGGAAACAUGAUUAAGGAAACUCAUAGAAAAUAAAACUUCUAACAUGAAUUUACAAGUAUAAAUAAUAAUGAUAUAAACAUUAUAAUGAGAAGCAAAUCAACUUUAAUAUCUUAACUUUUAAAUAAUAAAAGAAUCAUUAUUCCUAAAAAUAUAUUGUUGUUAUCCUAUGCAAUUUACCUCCCUAAAAAAACAAUUAAUAAAACUUAUUAGUAUUAUAAUAAAAACAUCACUCCAUCAUGAAUAACUAUUAAAUUAUUUUUAAAUAGCGAAAUAAUAAAAUAUGAUAAUUGAGAGAUAUAUGACAAAAACAUGACCAAUAAAAGUAAAGCUAUAAAACUUGGCUAGAUACUUUUAAAAGAAAUAUUAAAUAAUAAUCACCCUCACGAUAUUAUGAAAUAGUAAAUAUACAAUACUACGACUUGUUAUAUAUAUAUAUAGUUUAAAAAACUAUUAGGUAUCAUUCAUUUAUUAAAAAAUUAUGAGGAUCAACAAUUUUAACUAAACAAUUUAACACAUAAUUUGUGUAAGAUCUGUUAAGCAAGCCCUCGUAUUGGACAUUGAGCAUGUUUAGGACGUACAAACGGACGCUUAAAGCGUAAGUCUCAUAAAACUAAGCCCCACACAUAAAUCUCGGAGCAUUUUGCUAUAGCCCUGCUCCAAAGCGGGUCUCGACAGAGUCUUUUAAAACAUUGAAUUCUUAUCUAAGCAUAAAAGUUAAAAUAAUUGGUCAAACACACUAAUAAUUUGAUAUGUGCACCAUAAUAACAUUCCUUGCUGAAAAGGCUCAAACUAAUCCAUUAUCUUUGGGUUAAGACUUAAAGUUAUCCUUUAGUUUUCAUAUAGAGCAGUGAUAGUCACUCAUAUUUGUAAUAUUGGUGCACUUUUGGUCAUCCUCCAAAAUUUUGCCUAUUAUUUAACAUUGCUUUUGUCCUUAAUUUUAUAUAUGGAAUGUUCAAUUGUUUUUUUAUUAUAAAUUUAAUAGAAAUAAUAACUCCAUGUGAGAGAAGGUGAGAAGAAGAGAACCUUGUACUGUUCGGUAGAAAUAUUAUUGUAGCUAAACUAAGAAAAUCUUGACAUAUGGUGUUGCAUGAAAAGAAAAAAUUAUACUAUUGCACGUGAAAACGACGUGAUGAACCUUUCGACUUUAACCGUAAUAAUAUUUUUACCAAACAAAACAAGGUAUUCCUCUUCUCACCUUCUUUCGCAUAGAGUUAUUAUUUCUACUAAAUAUAUAAAAAGAUGACCGAAUAUUUCAUACAUAAAUUGUGGAAAAAAUUAAUGUUGAAAAAUAGGCAAAAGUUUUGGGGGAGGACCAAGAGUGCACCAAUAUUGUAAACAUGAGGGAUUACUACUGUUCCAUGUAAAAAUUCAAGAAUAACUUUGAGUCUCAAACCAAAAAUAAGGGACUAUUUUGGGAUUUUAAUUGGUCACAAGAUGGUUGGUUCACGUCCUAACAAGUUGCCGCAAAGAAAGACUUUCUGCAACUAACUUUGGACUAAAAUAUUUCCUAAUUCCAGAUGUUCCAAAGUCUUUGACAAUAUUAAUUAAACGUAAAAAAAAGGGAGAAAUCAAGUGCAUUUUUAGCAAUAACUGAACAUUUUCUUUUGUGGAAAGUUUUUUUUAUGAUAGCACACCCUCCGUUUCAUGUUUCAAUUUACUUAUCCCCAUUCUAAAAAAAAUUGUUUUAAUUUACUUACUAAUUUAUGAAAUCAAGAUAAUUUUAUUAUAUAUUUUUUCCUUUCUACUCUUAGUAUUAAAUAACAAAAUAAAAUAGCAGUAAUUAAAUAUAAAGUUCGGAAGCAUCAUUAACAAGGUUAAUUUAGUAAUAUACACCUUUAAUUAAAUUUUGAUAAAGAUGUAUUUUUAUAUCAAUAAGGACCGUGUAAGAUGAAACGGAGCGUUGGAACCAAAAUCCAAGAUAAUAGACUAGACAAAUAGUAUCAUCAAGAAAAGUCAGGUGGUUAUGGACUGAGCAAAGCCUUCUGAUAUGGGAACGGAGUUACUUUAGUCAAAUAAUGGAGGUAAACUUAGUCAAAGAGACAUUAAGAACCUGACAAACUUCCAAUUCUUGUCUAAAGCCGCCAUUGUUAACUACUAUUCAAAUAGAAUAAAAUAUGAAGUAGAUACAAAUUUCAGAAAUGUAUUUGCCAUUCAUUAUCCAGAAAGUAAAAACCAUGGCAUCAUCUAUGGAAGCUAAUUUCUUCAUACUUUUUUCGUUGGUUUUCUGUUCUUCUAUACACAAUAUUAUUUCUACUACAACAACAGAUUUAAUCAGUACAAAUCAAUUCAUCAUAGAUGGUGAAACUAUUGUUUCAUCCGGUGGAACCUUUGAGCUGGGAUUCUUCAGUCCCAGCGAUUCCUCAAAUCGAUAUAUUGGGAUUUGGUACAAGCAAAUACUUCCACAUAUCAAAACAGUUGUAUGGGUAGCAAACAGAGAAAAACCACUCACGAAUACAUCUUCAGUACAACUGAAGGUCACCAAGCCUGGAAUACUUGCUCUUUUCAACGACAAGAAUGAAACUAUAUGGUUUACUAACACUUCAAGAUCAGUCCAAAAUCCAGUUGCAGUGCUUUUAGAUUCUGGUAAUCUUGUUGUAAAAGAUGCAAAUGAUAACAAUCCAGAAGAUUUCCUCUGGCAGAGCUUCAAUUUUCCGACUGAUACACACUUGCCUGAUAUGAAGCUUGGCAAGAAUUUUAAAACUGGCCAUGAGGUUUACCUUUCAGCAUGGAAGAGUGAUAAUGAUCCAGCUCCAGGAGAAUUCACUCGUAAUAUUGAUCCUACUGGAUAUCCACAGGUUCUCACCAAAAGUGGCACAGAUGUAUUAAACCGUAUAGGACCAUGGAAUGGUUUACGAUGGAGUGGGGCACCCAUACCACUACUAACACAAAGCAGACUUUAUACAUUUCAAUUUAUUUUCAAUGAGGAGGAGGUUUACUAUAUUUUUUCUCUCACUAAUUACAGCUCGGUUUUAUCAAGAAUAGUCAUCACUAGCAAUGGUGAUAUAGAACGCUUCAUGUGGGUGGAGCAGACAAAGAGAUGGCAUAGCCACUACAAGUUACCUGCGGAUAAUUGUGAUACAUAUAGCUUGUGUGGUGAGCAUGGGAGCUGUGACUUAGGUACUCAACCUAUUUGUGGAUGUUUGGAGAAGUUUGUACCUAAAAAUCUACAAUAAUGGGAAAAGGGAGAUUGGACAACAGGGUGUGUUCGGAGGACACCCUUAGAUUGCAAAAGGGUACAUGUAUUUAUAAGAUAUCCUGGAAUCAAGUUGCCAGAUACUAAGCACUCUCAGCACUAUAAAACCAUGACACUCGAAGGGUGUAAGCAAGUAUGCUCCACGAACUGCAACUGCACAGCUUAUUCAAGUCUAGAUAUAAGUAACGGAGACAAAGGUUGCUUAUUAUGGUUUGGGGAAUUGGUUGACAUCAGAAAGCUGUCAGAAAGAGGACAAGACAUUUUCAUCAAGAUGGAUUCUUCAGAGGAAGGUAACCUUCUUAUUUUUUUUCAAUUGAGGAAGGUAAGAACUUGUUUAAGAAAUUUCCCAUGUGUUUCUUAACUCUCUUUUUUCAACAAAUAGAGAUGAUAUAAUGCAAAGUUAGUGACCUGUCUUGAUUUGCGGUGGUUGACUUAAAAAAUUAAUUGUAGAAUCUGAGGCAGGUUCGAAAAGAAAGAAGGCAAUGAUACUUGCACUGAGUUUCUCAUUGUUGAUGGCAACGAUUCUGCUAAUCCUGAUUUUGUUGUGGUACAAGCGCAAAAAGAAGAAACUGAAACUCAGAGAAGAUUUUGAACUGCCACUGUUCCCAUUGUCUACAAUAACAAGAGCCACAAAUAACUUUUCGCUCAACAACAAGAUUGGAGAGGGUGGAUUUGGACCUGUUUACAAGGUAUACAGUGUAAAUUUGUUGGAACGGUAACUAGUUUAUGCUAGAAAUGAUUUUAUUCUGCAAUAUUCUAGUCUUUGUAAAAUCUAUGUUCUGCUAUUAUACAUUUGCCAUUUCUAGGGAGUACUGGAAGAGGGACAAGAAAUUGCCGUGAAGAGACUGUCGAGGACUUCCAUGCAAGGAAUUGACGAAUACAAGAACGAAGUUAUCUAUAUUGCCAAGCUUCAGCAUAGAAAUCUUGUGAGACUUCUGGGUUGCUGCAUCCAAGGAGAAGAAAAGAUGUUGAUCUAUGAAUACAUGCCUACCAACAGCCUAGAUUCAUACAUAUUUGGUUUGGAUUUCUAACCUAUUGUACAAGCUAAAAUGAGUAAUAAUUUGAUCUAGUAGUCAUAACAUGAAAAAAUAUGCUCACAAGAAAGCUUAUUUUGCAGACCAAACAAAGAACAAAUUACUUGAUUGGCCAAAGCGUUUCAACAUCAUCAAUGGAAUUGCUCGUGGCUUAUUGUAUCUCCAUCAAGAUUCACGACUACGGAUUAUUCAUAGAGACCUUAAAGCAAGCAAUGUUUUGCUAGAUACAGAAAUGAAUCCAAAGAUAUCAGACUUUGGCAUGGCCAGAAGUGUUACAGGAAAUGAGAUGGGAGCAAAAACACGCAAUGUGGUUGGGACACAGUAAGAAUCUCUAAUAUCAUGCAAUGUACUCUCAUAUGAUAUCUUUGCUUCUUUAAUUCUUAUGGUGUUGUUUUAUUGGCACAGCGGUUACAUGUCCCCUGAAUAUGCAGUAGAUGGGAUGUUUUCGGUAAAAUCAGAUGUGUUUAGCUUUGGGGUAUUGGUGUUAGAGAUUGUGAGUGGCAAGAAAAAUAGAGGAUUUAUGCAUCAAGAUCACAACCUUAACCUUCUCGGUCAUGUAAGCACUGUUUAACCUGUAUUACACACACAACUCAUUUUUUUCUUUACAAAAAUAGAAUUUGUCAUGAUCCAUAUGAUCUAAACUCAUACAGGCAUGGAAGCUUUACAAAGAUGAUAGGUCCUUGGAACUAGCUGAUGAGCAGUUAGCUGAUUCUUGCAAUAUUUCUCAAGUUUUAAGGUCAAUUCAAGUGGGUUUAUUAUGCGUGCAACAACAUCCAGAUGAUAGACCAAGCAUGUCUUCUGUGGUUCAUAUGUUGGCUAAUGAGAGUCAACUGCCAAAAGCAAAAGAACCGGGAUUUUUCACAGAACGAAACAUAUUCGAUGAAGGAAAAUCCGGAUCGCAGACAAGAAGUUCAAAAAAUGAAUUCACAAUCACAAUGUUAGAUCCUCGGUAGGUGUGACAAAAUAACUAUUUAAACUUGUGUGUACAUGAAUAGGAAAGAUAUGUAAGAACUUAAAAUAAACAUCAGGUUGAAUUUUUCUACUUGAUUAUAUUAUCUACUUAUGCAUUGGAUCUUUUUAUCUAUUUCUGUUGUUCUUCGAAUACAUACUUUAGGUAUGUUCGUGUAUUGGAGAUAAUAGUGUAAUGCAGAUUUAGAGGCAUAAUUAUGUAUAUUCAAUUAGUUAGUUAAUUUGUUGAUUAGUUAGUUAAUUUGUUGAUCAGUUAGUUAGCAAUGCAAGUAGUUAGUUACACAAGUUAGUUAGGUGUCAGGCAGUAGAUUCCACAUGUAUAUAUAGUGGCAUACUUCAUCUUUUGUAAUACACUUUAUGAAAUACAAUCAGAAAUUCCCCAAAUUUGAUUCUCUCUACUCGAGUUUGAACAUUGUGUUUCUUAUAUAACAACAAAGACGAAGAAACUGAUUUCGAUAACCAAAUGGUCCCCAUUCAUAUUCACUAAAUCUGCUAUAAGGAAGCAAUAUAUUUUGAACAAUUCUAUAAGUGAAUAGAAAAUUAACUCAAAUGAUUGCCCAGGUAAUAUUAAUAUAGAAUGACUACAACACCAACUUUCCCCAAAUAUCAAAAUCAUCAAAGUAACAGCAAAGAACCAAUACCAAAGUAGAGUUUCUUGUAAAGGGAGAGGCGAUUGCCGGAGAUGGAGUCUGGAAAGAGAUAAUUCCGGAAGAUUAGCCUGAAAAAUCUACUUUGAGAAAUGGGAUCUAAGAACGAGCAAUUUUGUUGUAAACAUCCAAAGGGAAAAUAUGGAAUACUCACAUAUUUACUAUGCAAUUUUUUUUGUGUGGGUAAUUAUUGCUAUUUUUAUACUCUUUUUUUUUUAGUGUUUAGUGUAACUUUCUAUAUUGCUCUAUUUGGAUUUAAUGAAAUUUUCUUGGUAUUUAUGGUUAAAAAAAAGAAGCUUCCCACCAUUUCCCUCGAAUCUAAGGAAAAUAAGGUGUUAAAUAUUUGACUGAAACAUCACUUACAA
rnacentral:lncRNA from 1 species